rnacentral:tRNA from 1 species
GGCUGCCUGGCGAAAUGGCAUCGCGUCUGACUACGACACAGUGAAAUCAGGAGAUUGCAGGUUCGAUCCCUGCGGUGGUCA